CUAACAGUGGAUACGGUGACCAGUGCCACCACUUAUAUCUGGUGUCACAAUAGCUUGGAUUUAAAAACAAAAAACUUUUUUCACUGGUAUAGAUUGAAUAGCAGUUAGUUAUCUUCAAGCAGGUGUGUUACGCUAACAGUGGAUACGGUGACCAGUGCCACCACUUAGAUCUGGUGUCACAAUAGCUUGGAUUUAAACAAAAAACACUUUUUUCACUGUUAUAGAUUGAAUAGCAGUCAGUGUCCUUAAAGCGGGUGUGUUACGCUAACAGUGGAUACGGUGACCAGUGCCACCA